UAGACGUCGUGCUCGUAGGUGCGGCCCAUGAUGCGUGAGAAGGCGGGCUUGAUGUAGAGCUUGUACUGCUUGUCCAGGUUGAAGUGGCGCAGCAUGUACAUGGUGGCCAUGGCGUCGGCCUCGUACUGUUGGCGGCGAGGGUCAGCUGGCUUGGGCUGGAUCAGCAGCUGUCCGCGGAAGCCGAUCUUUUCCUUGUACUGGACAGCCAUGCG
rnacentral:misc_RNA from 1 species